rnacentral:sRNA from 1 species
CUCGCUGCUAAGCUAUCGCCGCUGCCAACCUAUCUAUUGCUGCAAGCUAUCCCUCGCUGCUAAGCUAUCCCUCGCUGCUAAGCUAUCCCUCGCUGCUAAGCUAUCGCCGCUGCCAACCUAUCUAUUGCUGCAAGCUAUCCCUCGCUGCUAAGCUAUCGCUGCCAACCUAUCUAUCGCUGCCAACCUAUCACCGCUGCCAAUCUAUCGCCGCUGCCAACCUAUCUAUUGCUGCAAGCUAUCCCUCGCUGCUAAGCUAUCGCUGCCAACCUAUCUAUCGCUGCCAACCUAUCACCGCUGCCAAUCUAUCGCCGCUGCCAACCUAUCUAUUGCUGCAAGCUAUCCCUCGCUGCUAAGCUAUCACUGCCAACCUAUCUAUCGCUGCCAAUCUAUCUAUCGCUGCCAAUUUAUCUACCACUGCCAAUCUAUCUAUUGCUGCUAAUCUAUUGCUGCUGCCAAUCUAUCUAUCACUGCUAAUCUAUUGCUGCUAAUCUAUCACUGCUAAUCUAUCGCUGCUAAUCUAUCGCUGCUAAUCUAUCGCUGCCAACCUAUCUACCGCGGCGAAUCUAUCUAUCACUAUCAUUACUAGUUCAAAAUAGAACUAGAGCAUAAAUACACUAAACUUCUUUUGAUAGGUAAUGAUUUUUGGUAACACUCAUAGCAUUAUAUCAUCUAUAUAGGGUAAAUCAUGAUCCCAUUUGGUCCCAUUUUAACAAAAUGAGACCAAAUGGGACCAGAAUCAGUAAUUUAUAAGAAGAACAUGACCUGGGACUAGAUUUAUAAUAUAAACAGUGUAAAGUAACUAAUUUAAUAAACACUAUAUGGAAUC